rnacentral:tRNA from 1 species
CGGGGUGUGGCGCAGUUGGUAGCGCGCACGCCUGGGGGGCGUGAGGUCGCCAGUUCAAGUCUGACCACCCCGACCA